CCUCCUUUCUUCCUCCUUGCGGCAUCUUGGUCAAUGGACGAGAGUCUGAACCAGCCAAGUAGCGUGAAGGAUGACUGCCCUAUGGGUUGUAAACUUCUUUUAUAAAGGAAUAAAACGAGGCACGUGUGCCUUUUUGCAUGUACUUUAUGAAUAAGGAUCGGCUAACUCCGUGCCAGCAGCCGCGGUAAUACGGAGGAUCCGAGCGUUAUCCGGAUUUAUUGGGUUUAAAGGGAGCGUAGAUGGGUUGUUAAGUCAGUUGUGAAAGUUUGCGGCUCAACCGUAAAAUUGCAAUUGAUACUGGCAGUCUUGAGUACAGUUGAGGUAGGCGGAAUUCGUGGUGUAGCGGUGAAAUGCUUAGAUAUCACGAAGAACCCCGAUUGCGAAGGCAGCUUACUAAACUGUGACUGACAUUGAUGCUCGAAAGUGUGGGUAUCAAACAGGAUUAGAUACCCCUGUAGUC
rnacentral:rRNA from 1 species